rnacentral:rRNA from 1 species
CUUACCNNUAAGCNUCCCCUGGGAGUACGCCCGCANGUUNAACNCAAAGGAUUGACGGGGGCCCNCCCAGCNGUGGAGCNUUUGUUUAAUUCGAAGCAGCGCGAAGANCCUNCCAGGUUUGACAUCCCUCUGACCGCUCUAGAGAUAGAGCUUUNCUUCGGGACAGAGGUGACAGGUGGUGCAUGGUUGUCGUCAGCUCGUGUCGUGAGAUGUUGGGUUAAGUCCCGCAACGAGCGCAACCCCUAUUGUUAGUUGCCAUCAUUCAGUUGGGCACUCUAGCGAGACUGCCGGUAAUAAACCGGAGGAAGGUGGGGAUGACGUCAAAUCAUCAUGCCCCUUAUGACCUGGGCUACACACGUGCUACAAUGGCUGGUACAACGAGUCGCAAGCCGGUGACGGCAAGCUAAUCUCUUAAAGCCAGUCUCAGUUCGGAUUGUAGGCUGCAACUCGCCUACAUGAAGUCGGAAUCGCUAGUAAUCGCGGAUCAGCACGCCGCGGUGAAUACGUUCCCGGGCCUUGUACACACCGCCCGUCACACCACGAGAGUUUGUAACACCCGAAGUCGGUGAGGUAACCGUAAGGAGCCAGCCNCCUAAGGUGGGAUAGAUGAUUGGGGUGAAGUCGUAACAANGUANCCA